CGCGCAGGACGGCGCAUGCGCGGCCCCCCGUGUUUCCCCCCCCCCUCACCCCGCGCCCAGCAACGACCAGGAGCAGUGGCGGGGAAGGCAGCGCGGGCGACGGUGGGCGGGGCUUUCCUCAGGGACGUUACAACUCGCCGAGGUUGGCGGCGGCGCCAUUUUGAAUUGGCUGAGGGUCGGAGGCGGUGGUUGCUGAACCGGGCUCCGCGUCCCCCGAGAAGACCAGCGAGAAAGGAGCGAGUUCUGAAUAUGGCAGCGAAUAGGAACUUGAAGCAAGUGCGGAUCGAGAAUAGCUCCCCGGCGGCGCCGCUGGGCAUGGUGGGGGGUGGUGGCGGCAACCUGAAGGGAUUGCGGGGCCUAGAGUCGGAGAGUGAGGCAGCGGCGGCCAUGGCGCUAGUGCCGAGCAAAGAAGGUGGAGAUGAAGAGCAGGAGGUUGGGUUCACCAUCGAUAUAAAAAGCUUUCUCAAACCUGGCGAGAAGAGCUACACGCAGCGCUGCCGGCUGUUCGUGGGGAAUCUGCCUACUGAUAUCACCGAGGAAGAUUUCAAGCGCCUCUUCGAGCGCUACGGGGAGCCUAGCGAAGUCUUUAUCAAUCGGGACCGUGGCUUUGGCUUCAUUCGCCUGGAAUCUAGGACACUGGCUGAAAUAGCAAAGGCAGAACUUGAUGGUACUAUUUUGAAGAGCAGACCACUUCGAAUUCGAUUUGCUACACAUGGAGCUGCCCUAACUGUCAAGAAUCUUUCACCUGUGGUUUCUAAUGAGCUGCUGGAACAAGCAUUCUCUCAGUUUGGGCCAGUGGAAAGAGCUGUUGUUGUAGUAGAUGAUCGUGGCAGAGCUACAGGAAAAGGUUUCGUAGAGUUUGCAGCAAAACCUCCAGCACGGAAAGCUCUAGAAAGAUGCAGUGAUGGGGCAUUCUUGCUAACAACAACACCUCGACCUGUUGUUGUAGAACCAAUGGAGCAAUUUGAUGAUGAAGAUGGGCUCCCAGAGAAGCUAAUGCAAAAAACACAACAGUAUCACAAGGAAAGAGAACAGCCACCACGCUUUGCUCAACCUGGAACAUUUGAGUUUGAGUAUGCUUCACGGUGGAAGGCUCUUGAUGAGAUGGAAAAGCAACAGCGUGAACAGGUUGACAGGAACAUUAGAGAAGCCAAAGAGAAACUAGAGGCAGAAAUGGAAGCAGCUAGACAUGAGCAUCAGUUAAUGCUGAUGAGGCAAGAUCUCAUGCGCCGUCAAGAAGAAUUGAGGCGUUUGGAAGAACUUAGAAAUCAAGAACUUCAAAAACGCAAGCAGAUACAAUUGAGACACGAAGAAGAACAUCGGCGUCGUGAAGAAGAGAUGCUACGCCAGAGGGAACAGGAGGAAUUACGACGACAGCAGGAGGGAGGAUUUAAGCCAAAUUUCAUGGACAAUGUGAAAGAGAUCAUGAGGGUUAAAGGUUAUUCCCUUGCUCCUUCAACAAUUUUGUACUUCUUAGCUGUUCAUGAUAAGGUAAACCUGAACAAAUGCAAACAUGAACACAGCUCCGCGGAUCAUCUCGGGUUCCCUUUGGAAACCCCAAAUAAAUGGCCACAAGGGAUUGUGUGUUUUCCUGAGAACAGCUCGGCAUUGGAGUUCUUCCUUUCUGUGUGAUGGAUAGUGGCUCUGCUACUCUCAAAAUGAUACCUAUGCCUGCUGGUGCAAAAUGUUGUAUGGUCCACUUCAGUGGCAGUCGAAAUUUACCCAUGCUGCUGUUCUGUGUUGCUAGGUUACUAUUAAAAUCUUAAAAUGCAGAUGAAGACUGGCUUGUGCAGAAUCCUUCUGCUGCCUUAUGCAUACAAAAGGGAAUCCUAAACCAAGUUUUAGUACGAGCCUGAGUCAUACUCAUUUCCUGAAAAUGUUCUCCAUUGUAUUCGGUUUCAAUGAAAACUGCUGGUGGCUAUACACCCUCAGAACUGAAGAUGGCUUUCUGCUAUCAUGUGCAAGAUGCUGCUCUUCACGUUGGAAUGACAAGGACCAUCAGGGACAGGUCUGCCCUGCAAGACCCGAGGCAAUCGGGCUGUUUCAAGUGAUGGGAAGGGGACCCGCAUGGAGGUGGUGUUCCGCACCAGCACCCUGGAUUUGAAAAGACACAUCAGAAGAAUCUGAAUGCACUGUCUGCUUCCGAGGUUCAAGAUGCCUUCUCUGGUAUGAGGAGAUGAGUUACAGCUUUUGUGAUGCUACUGUCUUCAUUUUCAGCCUCUGGCAGAGGAGGUGGUACCCAGCGUUAAGCAAAGUCGAGCAUUUCAUAGGAAGGCUGACGUUAGCCAACUUGGAUGUGUAACUGAGGUCUUGACUCCCUUUUUAUCUAGACUGUACCAGAAGAUUUUCUUUCCAGAAAUACUAGUGCUGGGAAAUGGUGUUGAUAAAAGGAUUACAGUUUGCACAUGCUACAAUAGGAAUCAAGGGUACAUGAUACAUUAAAAGACUGCUCCUUGGUAAAAUGAUUGGGUUUGGACUAAAAAAAGCCUUUAGAGUUAAAUGAAAUGAGUAAGGAAGUAUUUUCAAGCACUAAAAUAUGUGACAAAAGAUAGGAAAGUGGUGGGGUCUAUAUUUAGAGAAAAAACAAUAGUGUGGAUUGUGUUUAAGUUGCAGUAGUUUAAAAGCGCACAGAAGUAUUAGUUACCUAGAGAAAAUGGUGUAAGCCAGCAACAGCUGAAAAGGACUGGAAGGAAAUGUUAACCAAUGGGGAGAUUAAAGCUGCAGUAAGAUUCGCUGUCCAUGCAGUUAAGUUUGAGUUGGAAUUUAUGAUAAAAAUGCCUGCUGUCUUAAUGUAGCCCAAUAAAAAGAUGAAAAACAAAAACCAUGAAUGAAAUUAAUAAUGAAAAAUGAAUUUUGAUGUGAUGCAGUUUUAACAUCGGACUGUAACAUACCACCCAUUUUUUUUUUUUAUAGGGUUUCUGUAUCUGUUAUAAAACUGUUUCAGAUUAAUCAAUGAAUAACAGGAUGUUUAUUUUCUGUUCUAUUUUCUGAAUCGACAAGGCAGUGAACAUGAAUCGAGGGCCUGACGGGAACCUCACCGAGUUCAAAAAAGGCAAAUGCAACGUCGUACACUGGGUACUGAAUUAACUUGAUGCAGUUGCACAGACUGGUUGUGAAGCAGCUUUCCAGAAGCUGAUCUGGGAGUCCUGAGGAACAAGUGAAGAUGAAGGCGUCCAACCACAUUCUGGGCUCCAUUAGAAGAGCACAGCUGAGCAGGGACAAGGAAAGCAAUCUUUCUUCUCUGCUCAGUGCUUCUGUGACUGCAGCUGCAGUGCUGUGACCAGUUCGGGGCUCCUGAAGACAAGAUGGGAACAAGUCCAGUGGAGGCCAGCACGGUGAUCAGGAGGUUAGAGCACAGGAGCCAUGGGGAUAGGCAGUGGGGUUUGUUCAGUCUGGAAAACAGGAGGUUGAGGGGUAGGAUCCUACCUCAGCUGUGUAAUGGAAGGGGCUGGAGGCUCAUCUUAGUGGUGCACAGUAGUGAGGUAGUCUUGUGUAAUUUUCAGUGUAUGUAAGCGCUGCAUCAUACCACUAAUAAAAAUAGUGCAAGUCA